AACGCGAAGAACCUUACCUGGGCUCGAAAUGUAGAGGAAUCCGGCAGAAACGUCGGCGUCUAGCAAUAGAUCUCUAUAUAGGUGCUGCAUGGCUGUCGUCAGCUCGUGUCGUGAGAUGUUGGGUUAAGUCCCGCAACGAGCGCAACCCUUAUCUUCAGUUGCUACCAUUUAGUUGAGCACUCUGACGAAACCGCCUCGGAUAACGGGGAGGAAGGUGGGGAUGACGUCAAGUCCUCAUGGCCUUUAUGUCCAGGGCUACACACGUGCUACAAUGGCCGGUACAAACCGCUGCAACCCCGCGAGGGUGAGCUAAUCGGAAAAAGCCGGCCUCAGUUCGGAUUGGAGUCUGCAACUCGACUCCAUGAAGCUGGAAUCGCUAGUAAUCGUGGAUCAGCAUGCCACGGUGAAUACGUUCCCGGGCCUUGUACACACCGCUACAGU
rnacentral:rRNA from 1 species